rnacentral:rRNA from 1 species
AAUACCGGAGAAUGUUAUCACGGGAGACACACGGCGGGUGCUAACGUCCGUCGUGAAGAGGGAAACAACCCAGACCGCCAGCUAAGGUCCCAAAGUCAUGGUUAAGUGGGAAACGAUGUGGGAAGGCCCAGACAGCCAGGAUGUUGGCUUAGAAGCAGCCAUCAUUUAAAGAAAGCGUAAUAGCUCACUGGUCGAGUCGGCCUGCGCGGAAGAUGUAACGGGGCUAAACCAUGCACCGAAGCUGCGGCAGCGACACUGUGUGUUGUUGGGUAGGGGAGCGUUCUGUAAGCCUGUGAAGGUGGCCUGUGAGGGUUGCUGGAGGUAUCAGAAGUGCGAAUGCUGACAUAAGUAACGAUAAAGCGGGUGAAAAGCCCGCUCGCCGGAAGACCAAGGGUUCCUGUCCAACGUUAAUCGGGGCAGGGUGAGUCGACCCCUAAGGCGAGGCCGAAAGGCGUAGUCGAUGGGAAACGGGUUAAUAUUCCCGUACUUGGUGUUACUGCGAAGGGGGGACGGAGAAGGCUAUGUUGGCCGGGCGACGGUUGUCCCGGUUUAAGCGUGUAGGUGUGUGUUCCAGGUAAAUCCGGUUCACUUUAACACUGAGGCGUGAUGACGAGGCACUACGGUGCUGAAGCAACAAAUGCCCUGCUUCCAGGAAAAGCCUCUAAGCAUCAGGUAACAUCAAAUCGUACCCCAAACCGACACAGGUGGUCAGGUAGAGAAUACCAAGGCGCUUGAGAGAACUCGGGUGAAGGAACUAGGCAAAAUGGUGCCGUAACUUCGGGAGAAGGCACGCUGACACGUAGGUGAAGUGAUUUACUCAUGGAGCUGAAGUCAGUCGAAGAUACCAGCUGGCUGCAACUGUUUAUUAAAAACACAGCACUGUGCAAACACGAAAGUGGACGUAUACGGUGUGACGCCUGCCCGGUGCCGGAAGGUUAAUUGAUGGGGUCAGCGCAAGCGAAGCUCCUGAUCGAAGCCCCGGUAAACGGCGGCCGUAACUAUAACGGUCCUAAGGUAGCGAAAUUCCUUGUCGGGUAAGUUCCGACCUGCACGAAUGGCGUAAUGAUGGCCAGGCUGUCUCCACCCGAGACUCAGUGAAAUUGAACUCGCUGUGAAGAUGCAGUGUACCCGCGGCAAGACGGAAAGACCCCGUGAACCUUUACUAUAGCUUGACACUGAACAUUGAGCCUUGAUGUGUAGGAUAGGUGGGAGGCUUUGAAGUG